GAAAUGAGUUCCUUCACCAGAAGCCAAGUUACAAGAGAGACCGUGACAGUGAAGAAGGCAAUCUGUGAAUCGACCGGUGGUGUUUUAGCAAAAGCAUCGCGGGCAGAGAGAGCAAAUCCACAUCCAGAGUGGUGGGGAACGCGAAGCCAGAGGCGCCGGCUGAGAUGGAUGGUGAUGUAGCAGGAGUGGGCGCGGUAGGCUUUGAGCCACGUCUUCACGUGACUUACCUGUGCCUUCAGAAGCUGCUUUGAGCCCAGUCUUGUGCAUACCCUUUCUACUUGGUGAUGGAACGCCACUGAGUAUGCCCAACUGUAUGGUAUGAAAUGGUCGAGGCAGUCCUGGCGGCUUCCCCUGGGCCUUUCCCGCCACAAAAGCCCUCUCUCCACAGUCCAGGGACCAGUGUGGGAUCCCA